AAGUCUGAAGGCUGCAAUAGUGCAAAAAAGAAGAGGAGUCGCCUCCCUGAUCUUCUCCUUCUCUCUCCACCGAUCUCUCGGAUCGAAAUACAAAGCAAGGAAUUAAAAACAAAGAGAUUUCAAAAUUAGUUUCCUCCUUUAUGUGUUGCGACAUGUUUUCUGGGGAUUUGAACGAUUAUUUUGAGCUUUGAAGUGCUAAUCACUAUCGAUUGUUGCUGGAAAAGCCUUGCUGAGCUUCACCCUUGAGAAUUUUAACAUUUAUUCGACCUUCGAGAUCUGUCUCCCUUUUUGCCGAUAGCUCUUGCUUGGCUUUCUAGUUGUUUUAACUGCUGAUUAAGGUCAAUUCUAGUCCAAUGAUGUGUGAUGAUAAAUAUACCAACCAUUGUGUAGCUUGACCAUGUUGAGUUUCCACUUGAACGAAUGGAAGCCAUCACUUCUGUCAUUUUCAUAUGUUGAGUUCUUGGAGUUAAUUUAUAAUUUUUAAUUCUGAGCAAUCUUAUAUUAAUGUUUGUAGAAGUUUCUUUUUAGCUAUUUUUCCAUUGUUAUGUUGAUGUAUGAAAAUCAAGUUGAAAGAUUAGUCAAAUGUAGUUAUACACAUUUCUGAAUUCAAUUCGGACUCAUUUGGUUCUUAA